CUUCCAGCAGUCCAAGAUAUUAGUCAAUGCUCGAAAGAGUGAACUAGCUAACUGAAAUCAAUUAUAAAAAAUUGAUAACAUAAGAGAAAAUAAUGAUAUUACCUUAUUAUUAGUGUCGUCCAAAACUGGUGCCAGAAGACUCGGUAAGGCCAGAGACACAAACGUUAUUCGUCUUAAUCAGGCGUAAAGGGUUUGUAGGCGGCUUUUAAUUAAUAUUUUGUUUUUGUUUUUUGUUUUUUUAAUUAAAAAAAAAAAUAUAUAAAAAGUUAAGAAUAAAAGCUAGAAUCAAAUAGAGGAUAUAUCAAAAAAUGCUUAAAGUAGGUCUGAUAUCCUAAAAUAUUAAGUAGAAUAUUAAAGGCGAAAGCUUUUUUCCAUUAAUGAUUGACGCUCAGAAACGAAGGUGAGGAUAGGAAAUAGGAUUAGAUACCCAAAAUACCCCUCUCUGUCAACGAUGAAUGGUAAUUAUUAAUAAUAAAUUUAUUAAUGAUAAUGUUAACACGAUAACCAUUCCGCCUUGUGAGUACAACUGCAAAGUUGAAAACAAAAAAAUUAGUCGGUUUCGGAGCAAACGAAGUGAAGCAUGUUAUUUAAUG
rnacentral:rRNA from 1 species